CAUUUUUUAUGCUUUCAGACCGAUGCCCUCUGAAAGCUAGAUUACAGGUUGAUAUUGUUAUGAUAACAUCAAAAAUCCUCUUUAUUACUUUAACCAGUUUUUCUUCUUUGUCAU
rnacentral:lncRNA from 1 species